rnacentral:rRNA from 1 species
AUUGAACGCUGGCGGCAUGCCUUACACAUGCAAGUCGAACGGCAGCACGGGAGCAAUCCUGGUGGCGAGUGGCGAACGGGUGAGUAAUAUAUCGGAACGUGCCCAGUCGUGGGGGAUAACGUAGCGAAAGCUACGCUAAUACCGCAUACGAUCUAUGGAUGAAAGCGGGGGAUCGCAAGACCUCGCGCGAUUGGAGCGGCCGAUAUCAGAUUAGGGUAGUUGGUGAGGUAAAGGCUCACCAAGCCGACGAUCUGUAGCUGGUCUGAGAGGACGACCAGCCACACUGGGACUGAGACACGGCCCAGACUCCUACGGGAGGCAGCAGUGGGGAAUUUUGGACAAUGGGCGCAAGCCUGAUCCAGCAAUGCCGCGUGCAGGAUGAAGGCCUUCGGGUUGUAAACUGCUUUUGUACGGAACGAAACGGUGAGCUCUAAUACAGUUUGCUAAUGACGGUACCGUAAGAAUAAGCACCGGCUAACUACGUG